GAACCCAGGAGGCAGAGGUUGCAGUGAGCCAAGAUCAUGCCACUGCACUCCAGCCUGGCGACAGAGCGAGACUCCAUUUAAAAAAAAAAACACCAGGGCAUCUGUAAGCCACUUUGGGAGUCAAAAGAAUGUAGAGCUGGGCUGGACUCCUUAGAAGAAAGUUAAGUUCUGAGUGUGGGAGGAAGUGCCUGCACCCCCACAUCCAGACAGCCCGUCACUCCUGCUGCCGAAGACUGACUUGCUGAUUCGGGCUCUGCCUCCAUAGUGGGGGCACAGAGCCAGGGAGAGUGCCCACAGGCCCAGGGAUCCUGGGUGUGGGACCAGGGAGAAUGCCCACAGGCCCCAGGGCCUUUUUGAGCCCAGGGCGCUCUCUGCACAGGCCUGCUACAACUUCAUCCGAAGCAUGGCCGCCUACAGCCUCCUGCUGUUCCUGCUGCAGAUCAAGGACAGACACAACGGCAACAUUAUGCUGGACAAGAAGGGCCAUAUCAUCCACAUCGGUCAGCCAGCCACAGCGCCACCCUCCUCUCCCUUCACCCCGGCACCCAGGGGUGGAUAGGGAUCCCCACCCCACAGAGAGGAGAAUGCCCAGGACCACCCUGCCAGGAGUGUCAGGGUCCAGCUCUGAGGUCCGAACUGUCGGCCACCAAGCUGUUCUGCUGUAGAGGGUGCCUGGCCCCGGCCCCAGGGAGCUGGGGCGAGAGCCGCCAUUGCUCUGAGUCAGAAGCUGGAGCUGGGCGGAGUGGGGCUCGUCCAGGUUCAGUGCCCCAGCUUGGCUCCUUCCUCCACUUCCUCCCUUCUCUUUCUCUGCCUGCUGCCCCACCACCCACCCCAUCACUGUCUCCAAGAAAACACAACCUGCCUUUUGGGGGUGGAGGGGGUGCUCCUGUUGCAGAGUCCUUUUCCACUCCUCAAAACAGACCACUCGUCCUUGCCCGCCCUGGCUCCUACCCAGUCACAGGCAGCUCUUUGGGGUUUUGCAGACUUUGGCUUCAUGUUUGAAAGCUCGCCGGGCGGCAAUCUCGGCUGGGAACCCGACAUCAAGCUGACGGAUGAGAUGGUGAUGAUCAUGGGGGGCAAGAUGGAGGCCACACCCUUCAAGUGGUUCAUGGAGAUGUGUGUCCAGGCUACCUGGCUGUGCGGUGAGCCUGGGUGAGGACCAGGGUGGAGGCGGAGGGGGUGUGUGGAACGUUCUGAGAUCCCCUUUAGGAUGAAGGGAAUCCGGUUCCAGAGAGUGAGGUAGGUGCUAGCAGCCACCUGCUGACCUACACCUGUCCUUUGGUCACCUCUGUCUGCCCACCUGUGCCAGUAAAUUCUUGCUCUGGGCAUCUAAUUCCAACCACCUUCCCCACAAUCCUGCCCACGCCUUCAGCCAUGGGCUCUCCCUUUCUGGGCAUCCCAUCCACCCUGUCACCAAAGCCUGAGCACCUGCCACCCCACAGGCUACGUGCCAAAGAUGGGCUUUGUCCCAGUUUCAUAUACAGGUCACUUGGCCAAGGCCACAGUCCAACCUGGGUUCAUCCCCACUGCCCCGCAGAGAAAGGCAGGUCAGCGUGUCUGCAUCCCACCCAGGUGCAGAAGCCAUGGCCGGCAGCCUUAUGUGGGGGACAGGGCAGGACACUCAGCCUGUCCAGAGUGCGUAUGGGCAGCCCUUGCCUGGGCAGUACGGGUGACCGAGUGCAGCAGAUCGAAAGUUGCCUCGGGGAUGUGCAAGAUGUGGCAGGCGAGGUGGGUGGCAGGAGCCCACACCUGAGGCUGUUGGCAUCAGCCAGUCCACAGGACUACAGGCAGGGCCACCACCUAGGCUGGCCUCUGCCCACCGCUCCCUCCUGUCUCUCCCCAGGCCCUACAUGGAUGUGGUCGUCUCCCUGGUCACUAUCAUGUUGGACACGGGCCUGCCCUGUUUUCGCGGCCAGACAAUCAAGUUCUUGAAGCACAGGUUUAGCCCCAACAUGACUGAGCGCGAGGCUGCAAAUUUCAUCAUGAAGGUCAUCCAGAGCUGCUUCCUCAGCAACAGGAGCCGGACCUACAACAUGAUCCAGUACUAUCAGAAUGACAUCCCCUACUGAGGAGGGGACCUUCGAGGGCCUCUGCCCCAUGUGCCCUUGAAGCUGCCCCACAAUCAUGGAGCCCUGCGACCUACCCGCCCUGCCGCCACAUGCAGUGGAGGAGAGGCCUGUGGCCCGAAGAGCCUGGUAGCGCCUCCUGGGGCAGCACGUGGGUGGCGCAGGCUUAGUAACGCCGUGGACUGCAGCGACAAUCAGUGGAUGGUGCUGUCUAUGCACAGGUGUGAGUCCUCUGUUUGCACUGGACAUAUUCCCUACCUGUUUUAUUUCAUAGGUACAUGAAGUAUUGUGUAUAAAAAAAGAGAUAAGAUUUAACCAACAUCAACAAAAUAAAAACCCAAAAUAGUGCUGUGUUGGAA
ensembl:lncRNA PI4KAP1 phosphatidylinositol 4-kinase alpha pseudogene 1